GUCUAUGGCCAUACCGCCUUGAAGGCUCCCUGUUCUGUGUGAUUUAGGAAAUUCAGCAGGGUUGAGCUUGGUUAGUACUUGCAUGGGAUUCUGCUUGGGAAUACUGGGUGCUGUAGAUU
rnacentral:rRNA from 1 species